UUGAGGAUAUUUUAAAGCAACAAUAGCAGCAAAUGUAGUCCUCAAAAUAUAGUAACGAGCAGAAUUAUUUAGACGCUUUAAAAUGACAGAGAGGCACGAUAAUAGAUAACACAAUAUCGCAGGAAGUGGCGUUGAUUUUAAACAUACUUUUCGACCAAUUUCUAUUACAAAGAGAGGUUUGAGAGUAAACAGGUUGAGGUAAAAUGGCUUACUCUUGUUAACUGUAGUUAAAGAACAACGACAUUGACCUAUAAAACAGAGCUAUGUAGGGAAAUGUAAAGUCUGGGAGCAAUUAGAUAGCUCGCACUUCAGUCAAAAAUGCCACCGCAAGUAUAAAAAUGUAAUAAAAUUCAGAUAGUGUAACUAUAAUGGCACAAUUUGAUACGCAGUCGGCAAUUGGUGCUGAAAAGACAAUCAAACUGACUUCAAAAGCUUGACAUGAAGGCGAUUUGAUGCAAAUUGAAUGUCAAACUGGCCAACACAUACAUUAAACCAAUUUCAGCUUCCUAUUUCGCCCAAUUACCACUGGAAGAAAUUGCUGCCCUUGCUGAAUUUAAAAUGACGUUACAGUACCUUGAUCAUGUCUUGACUAAUAUCUGACUUGAAAUUGAUAUCAGGGUAGGAAAAUGGCUCUGUGAAGAUUUUCAUUCUAUGCAAAUAAAACAACAUACGAUUUUGCGACGACACGUGGCUGCAGGGGUCUGAGAGCCUAGACGCGGAGGUGCAAAGGAGGCAUUUGAAGCCGCAUUCCUCGGGAGGUUGUGGAGCCGGAGCCGUGUUCGGGUGCUCCUAUGGGCCAGUGAUCAAAGUGAAGGCUGAUACUCGUAGGCACUCCAGUGACAAGACGAUGAGGGAUCCGAUAGGAUCUGAGACGUGGUAAAACUACUGUCAACUUUCUGAACGUAACAGAGCCGGUGGAUCCAUGUGCAAGCUUUUAUUCGUGGAUAUAGGCAGAAGACUGGCAGGGUCAAACAACUGCAGCAAACGUGAUCCAGAGGGCUAGACAAGAGGGGUGUCCGUAAACGUAGGCAAAAUCCAGGCGAGGAGCAAACACGGCCCGAAACAGCAGGCCAAAGGGUUAAUCCAGAGAGAUGAGCGAUAAUUCAAAUGAGGCAUGAACAGAGUCUGAGGCGGCAGGCAAAAGCCCAAAAUAUGUGGGCAAGAAUCAAGAACUAGGAAACCAGGAAAUAUAACUAGGCUAAGAGUAGAACCUGAAACUGAAACAAGGAAAUGGUUCCUUUAGAGUUCUAUCGCUAGGAGAGCUAUAAAUGCAUACAAUACUCAGCGUGGAACAGAGGGAGGAACUGCUGUUUAAGGUGUGUGAGUGAUUGAAUGCGGGUGAGCGUGUGAUGAGUUCAAUCAGGUGUGCGUCGUCAGUGCAAUGGAUGAUGGGAAUUGAAGUCAACAAGAAAUACAACAAGAGUCAAUAGGGAGUGGCAUCUGGUGUUGAGCGAACCAAAGUUCGUGGACAGAUUCGUGACACCGUGCAAGACAGGA